rnacentral:rRNA from 1 species
AUUGAACGCUGGCGGCAGGCCUAACACAUGCAAGUCGAACGAGUGGCGGACGGGUGAGUAAUGUCUGGGAAACUGCCUGAUGGAGGGGGAUAACUAAUGGAAACGGUAGCUAAUACCGCAUACCAUCGGAUGUGCCCAGAUGGGAUUAGCUAGUAGGUUGGGUAAAGGGUCACCUAGGAGACGAUCCCUAGCUGGUCUGAGAGGAUGACCAGCCACACUGGAACUGAUACACGGUCCGGACACCUCCGGGAGGCAGCAGUGGGGAAUAUUGCUCAAUGGGCGCAAGCCUGAUGCAGCCAUGCCGCGUGUAUGAAGAAGGCCUUCGGGUUGUAAAGUACUUUCAGCGGGGAGGCGUUACCCGCAGAAGAAGCACCGGCUAACUCCGUGCCAUCAGCCUCGGUAAUAC